UAGGGAAUCUUCCACAAUGGGCGCAAGCCUGAUGGAGCAACACCGCGUGAGUGAAGAAGGGUUUCGGCUCGUAAAGCUCUGUUGUUGGAGAAGAACGUGCGUGAGAGUAACUGUUCACGCAGUGACGGUAUCCAACCAGAAAGUCACGGCUAACUACGUACCAG
rnacentral:rRNA from 1 species